AACAAGGUAACACACUUAGGAAGUUGAUCAGCAAAUAUGAUGGCUACUUAACUUUUGCAGAUUAGCCUGUACCUUUAUCUACCAUAAGUUUCCCCGACAAACGGAGAGAGCCAAUACUAAGUUACAAUUAUAUGCAAACGACAACCACAACGAUUACUUUUUUCUUAUAUUAAAUUGUAAUUUAAUAGGCCUCUAUAUUAG